GCCGCUGUCCACCCCCUCGAGCCGGUCGCCACCCACCACAGCCGCUGCUCCUCUACCUCUGCUGUCCGUCCCCUUGUUUUCUCUCGUUCUUCGCUCCCGCCUCGAGGCUCUGCUGCAGGUUCGCUUCUUCCUCUCGGUCGCUCGCUAAUUCCCGCAGCGUUUCUCUCUUCUUGCUUGCUUGCUUGCUACCUCUGCUUCCGCUGUUGUUUUGCGCUUCUUUAGUUGAACUUGCGUCUCGCGUUUUCGCAAUCCUCCCCUUUCCUCACGCAUAUUGAUGGACAAAACCCUAGCCCUCUCAAAAAACUCUCUCCCCUAAUCUCACUCUCGGUCCGUCGAUCGCCUCACCUCGCCUGCGGCCUUCCCUCUUGCACUCGGCCUUCCCUUUCCCCUCGUUGUUUUUGCAUUUCGUUAGGCACUUCUAUGAUUGCGUUGAAUUUUCUGGCUUUUUUUUUUCUUCUCUUUGGCGCUAAAUAGUUUUGGCUUGAUCGUUCAAUGAUUAGUGAGAUAGUCUGGCCAAUUGGUACGACUUUAAGAGAUUCAUCGUUUUCUUGGCUAGGUUGGAAAACUGGAAACCAUCACUUACUCUUUCUGAAUCAAGAUUUGUACAUCAGUAUGACAUUUGGUCAUUAUAUACUAAGUUGUUGCUAUUUGGAAUUUGGUCACAUUUUGCUCUUUAGUAAUCGGUGUUUGCUAGUGUUAGUAUGUUUUUUGGCUUGGAUUCUUGUUAUUGCAGAUUAAAUGAAGAAAUGAAGGGCAUGGAAAGUCUAGCGACACAAUUGUAUCCUUGACUAGAUGGAAAAAGUCUUUAUCGUUGCUGCAGUGUUUGUCUUGAACACAUUUUUGUCCUGUGAACUUAGAAAUUUAUCGAAAAGCAUCAUUUUACUUCUUACAAACGAGCGAUGCCCAUUCGUUGGAAAGUAAAAGCCACACGGUUUCAUUUUUUUUUCCCCAGUUGAAUUAAAGGUUUGUGCUAUCAUUUGUGUUUUCCUUGACAUUGCUUCAGAAAAAUUCUGAGGAGGAAUGU
rnacentral:lncRNA from 1 species